rnacentral:lncRNA from 10 species
AUUCCAGGCACUGUCCUAGGUACUGUGGGGACCAAAACAUUCAGACCUGCUUCUAAGGAGUGCAGUCCAUGGAAGAGUCAGAAUAACAAAUCAACAUUUGUACUACACCAGACCAGCUCUCUUCUAAGGUUGCUAUGACUUCCCAGCAGGCAUUCUAAUAUAUGCAUUCUUCAUAACAACUGUGUGAAACAUAUUAAUAUCCUCAUUGUUAACGAUGAAGAAACUAAAUCUCAGGAAGAAAAACUAAGUGAAGACAAAAGAAGGAUUUGAACUGAGGUUUGUCAGACUCUCGGGACCAUGCUGUUGAAACCACUAAACCACGCUGCCUCUGGGUCACUUGGUAAACAGCAUUUAACCAUUAAGAAAGUCAUUAAUAAAGUUCCUUGUGCUCUCCUUGAGAUUACAAGCCAUUGAUUUGCUAAACU